GAUCCUGGCUCAGGACGAACGCUGGCGGCGCGCCUAACACAUGCAAGUCGAACGAGCGAGAGAGAGCUUGCUUUCUCGAGCGAGUGGCGAACGGGUGAGUAACGCGUGAGGAACCUGCCUCAAAGAGGGGGACAACAGUUGGAAACGGCUGCUAAUACCGCAUAAGCCCACGACCCGGCAUCGGGUAGAGGGAAAAGGAGCAAUCCGCUUUGAGAUAGCCUCGCGUCCGAUUAGCUAGUUGG
rnacentral:rRNA from 1 species